AUGUCAUGGUGGAAAUUGUGCAUCCCAAAGAGUGAAGGAGGUAUGGGCUUUCGCAACCUAUAUUCGUUUAAUUUAGCUAUGUUGGCAAAACAAUGUUGGAGACUCAUCACUGUCCCAGAUUCCUUGGUAGCAAAAGUGUUGAAGGCCAAAUAUUACCCCAAUGGAAGUAUACUAAGUGCUACCCCAAAAAAUGGGUCAUCCUUCACAUGGCAAAGUAUACUGAAGGGUCUUGAUACAUUCAAAAGAGGAUAUAUUUGGAGAAUUGGUACGGGUGAAGAGGUAAACAUUUGGAAGGACCCUUGGAUUCCUUCGAGUUCUGACAUGAAAGUGAUCACACCGAGAGGCCAAUCAAUUCUUACUAAGGUCUGCGAGCUAAUUGAUCCAGUGACCAGGACAUGGGAUGAUACGCUUCUAGAAAGCAUUUUUUAUCCAGUGGACGUGAGAAGGAUACUUCAAAUCCCUGUUCACUUCCAAGCUUUUGAUGAUUUUGUAGCAUGGCAACCAAACAGAAUAGGCAUCUUCUCUGUUAAAACAGCCUAUCAUUUGCAAUGGAUGCAUACUUAUAGGUCCCAUGCAAAUAUGAUGGAAAGACCAGGUGGAUCCACACCUUUGGCAGUAUGGAGUAAUCUUUGGAAAUUAUCUGUUCCACGUAAAGUUCAAAUUUUCUGUUGGAGAGUGUUACGAGGGAUCGUCCCGCUAAGAGCCAUCCUAACUAAUAGGCACGUUGGCUCCAACGGCGCCUGUCCUAUCUGCCACCAGGGCGCGGAGGACAUCUGACAUCUCUUGUUCCAGUGCGUGCAUGCGAGGUACCUGUGGACCAGACUUGGUAUGAUGGAUCUCAUU
rnacentral:rRNA from 1 species